rnacentral:rRNA from 1 species
CAGUAGCCGCGGUAAUACGAAGGGGGCUAGCGUUGUUCGGAUUAACUGGGCGUAAAGGGUGCGUAGGCGGGUUUUUAAGUCAGAGGUGAAAUCCCAAGGCUCAACCUUGGAACUGCCUUUGAUACUGGAAAUCUUGAGUCCGGGAGAGGUGAGUGGAACUGCGAGUGUAGAGGUGAAAUUCGUAGAUAUUCGCAAGAACACCAGUGGCGAAGGCGGCUCACUGGCCCGGAACUGACGCUGAGGCACGAAAGCGUGGGGAGCAAACAGGAUUAGAUACCCCCGUAGUCCCUGUCUCUUAUAA